UGCCAGCCGCCGCGGUAAUACGGAGGGUGCAAGCGUUGUCCGGAUUUACUGGGUGUAAAGGGUGUGUAGGUGGAAUUGCAAGUCAGUGGUGAAAUCCUGCGGCUUAACCGUAGAACUGCCAUUGAUACUGCUUUUCUUGAGUACUGGAGAGGUCACUAGAAUUCGUGGUGUAGCGGUGAAAUGCGUAGAUAUCACGAGGAAUACCAGAGGCGUAGGCGGGUGACUGGACAGAUACUGACACUGAGGCACGAAAGCGUGGGGAGCAAACAGGAUUAGAUA
rnacentral:rRNA from 1 species